UCCUUGUUCGUAUAACGGCUAGUAUGACCGCUUGUCACUUUCAAGUAACGCGGUAGAUCAGAGUUCGAUUCUCUGACAGGGAG
rnacentral:tRNA from 2 species